GGCCUGGUGCCUGCAAGCUGACGUCGGUCGUCAGUUAAACAGUGUUCCCUCCGACACAUUGGUGCCUGCUGUUUGUCCUCCUGUCCAGGGUGUGGAGCUGGAGAGCACCAGGCUGGUGAUCAGGUACCCAGACCGCUGGAUGCAGAGAACCCCUCACUCUCCUCAGAAGACCAACCCUAUAGGCCUCAACACCUCCUCAGCCUCCCAGUACGCCUCCACAUGCAGCACAAGCAGCUGAGGAGGACUCCUCUGUUCUCUACAGUACAGUCAACAAACCCUGAACCAAGAAGACCCCAACGCAACAAACCCUGAACCAAGAAGACCCG
rnacentral:lncRNA from 13 species